rnacentral:lncRNA from 1 species
AAAAAGAAAGAUUUAUCACAGGUAAGGCACAGUGCAGGAUGACAGGAAUAAAGCUAAAAGGGUGAUACCUAGAGGUAGCAGAAGACGAUAUUUCGUCAACAAUCUGGAAUCACUGACAGACGAGAGACACAUCAGCGAACGUCAUGCUGCCUUCCACUCAUUUUUAUCACCUUGGGUAUUUUGUCUGUUGUGAUGUGUGAUGCUGCGGUGGUGGCUUUUUGGUGAAGACGAGAUACAAAUUUGGAGGGGAGAAUAUUACUGAAAGGCGUGAGAAAUUCAAAUUUAGCUGCUGCGUGCUGUCUGCUAGGAAGCAAUCCAAUUGGCUGUCGCUAGGUGACGCGAGCGUCUUCAGCCAUUUUGUUCCUUGAUGAAUGAGAAGUGGGAUGCUGCAUGCUGGUCGUGACGUUUCCCAUGAUGAAAAUGUGAUUAUAAUACCACUUUGCCAAGCAAUCAAACUCGGGAGCCUGUCCAUUUUGCCGAAAUGUUGUGCCUCGUGUGUCUUGCUGCCUGCACCCAGUCGUAUGUCUCGUGCCAUGCAAAAGCAAAAGUCCGCUGUUGGUUACCUUGUUGCAACCAGGUGGUGAAAGACGUGAUGGGGUCCAGUGUUAUCCAGAAGUAGCUGUGCUGGCGGUAUCCUGAACUAGCCUGAAGUUGCCAGUGAAAUCUGGGUCUCUGACUUAAAAUAUUUUUUCUGUUUACAUUUGUGUAUUUUGCUCUGCUAAUGUUAUCCUGUGUUUGAAAUCUGUUCUCAUUUGUGUAUUUUUUGCUCUACCACUGAUUUCCUGUGUUGCAGUCUUGAAAUGGUUCCAUUGUCGUCUUUG